UUACGGCCAUAUCACGUUAAAACAUCGGUUCCUAUACAAUCACCGAAGUCAAGCAACAUCAAGCCUGGUCAGUACCUAAAUGGGUGACUGCUUGAGAAUACCCGGUACUGUAA